CAGCAGCCGCGGGAAAACGGAGGGUGCAAGCGUUAAUCGGAAUUACUGGGCGUAAAGCGUGCGUAGGCGGUUUGUUAAGUCUGCUGUGAAAUCCCCGGGCUCAACCUGGGAAUGGCAGUGGAUACUGGCAAGCUAGAGUGUGUCAGAGGAUGGUGGAAUUCCCGGUGUAGCGGUGAAAUGCGUAGAGAUCGGGAGGAACAUCAGUGGCGAAGGCGGCCAUCUGGGACAACACUGACGCUGAGGCACGAAAGCGUGGGGAGCAAACAGUAUUAGAUACCCCGGUAGUCCCUGUCUCUUAUAC
rnacentral:rRNA from 1 species